CCUACGGGAGGCAGCAGUGGGGAAUAUUGGGCAAUGGGCGCAAGCCUGACCCAGCAACGCCGCGUGAAGGAAGAAGGCUUUCGGGUUGUAAACUUCUUUUCACAGGGAAGAAUAGAGUACGGUUCCCGUCGAAUUAGCCACGGCUAACCACGUGCCAACAGCCGCGGUAAUAAGUAGGUGGGAAGCGUUGUUCGGAUUUACUGGGUGUAAAGGGCGUGUAGUCGGGUUGACAAGUCAGAUGUGAAAACCUAGGGCUUAACCGAAGACCUGCAUUUGAAACUGUUGAUCUUGAGUACUGGAGAGGCAGACGGAAUUCCUAGUGUAGCGGUGAAAUGCGUAGAUAUUAGGAGGAACACCAGUGGCGAAGGCGGUCUGCUGGACAGCAACUGACGGUGAGGCGCGAAAGCGUGGGGAGCAAACAGGAUUAGAUACCCUAGUAGUC
rnacentral:rRNA from 1 species